rnacentral:lncRNA from 10 species
GCCUGGCCCGCGACGCACCGAGGCCUGAGGACCCGAAAGCCGGGCGCGGGGAGAUGACCGGUGGCUCGUGACGGUCCCACGGGCAAAAUCUUCCAUCGCCCGGGGCUGAGACUUGUCAAACUGCCCUCUACGGUCACCCGGAAAGUAGGAGGCUUUUUCUGCAGAGGGGAAAAAAAUCAAAAAGAGCCGUUCCAUCCCCCCUCCAAGGACUGGGUUUGAAUUGCUUUUCAUCUGCAGUGGCUGUGAUUCAGCGUCCCUCUUAGCAGCAGGCAAUGACAGAGGCAGGAGAGGGGAAAAAAAAAAAGAAAGAAAGAAAAAACACAGCAAAUGAAUCAAACGGACGUAGCAGGCAAGAGUGUGGUUAUCGUUGGACCAGGAUUCAGGAUCUGACUGAGUAGCUGACUCUUAAUCCAGUUUGUGUUGAUCACCAGGAGGAUCUGGACCUCAGUAUUACCACAUCUAGAGGUGAUAUGCCAACUCCACCUUUGCCUUCCACCAUGUUUGGAAGCUCCCUGAGGCCUCACCAGGAGCAGAUGCUCGUCCCAUGCUUCCUAUAAGCCUGCAGAACUGUGAGCCAUAAUAAACUGUGAAUUAUAAAUUGCCUUUAUAGCAAUGCAAAUGGACCAGUACAGAUGGGAUGCUGGGAAGACAGUUGUUUCCACCUUCAGUAAAGUCCGUGGAACACAGUUGUGACUAUAUUCUAGGCCAGCCAAGAUGCUUGUACUCAGAAAGGAGUGGUCUCAGGACCAUAAGAAAGUGAAAAAAUAAAAAUAAGAAAAUAAAGAAGGGAUUGUCAAUGAAUCAGAAUUCAUCAAGGUCAAAGUCUUAGGAAAUUCCUUCAUGAGGAAGUCUAGGGGGGCUAUGGAAAUGAAAUUUUUAAACAAAUAGGUAUGUGGUGCUGGCAGGAAUAAAUUAUGGACUUAUGAAUAUAACAUAAGAUUCUUUAUUACCUGGUCUCACCCGUCUUUCCACCUCUGCCCCCCUUCUUGCCCGACUCUGUGUAUCACCCAUAAUAAACUACUUACAGCUUCCUAGUGUUAAAUUUACCCUAAAGCUGCCUCCUUCAAUAUUUUAAGUUUAACCUAAAGGUUCUUCAUACAUAGUGAACUAUAACCCAAUGAUUAAACAGAUUGUAACCUACUCUUGUACCAGUCACCAAGUUUCAGCCAAUCAGAGGUGGCCAACUGUUCAAACCAUGCUCAAAUAAGGGAAAUGUCAUGGUGUAACUAAUCCAGCUGUU